rnacentral:rRNA from 1 species
CCCUUAGAUGUUCUGGGCCGCACGCGCGCUACACUGAUGCAUUCAACGAGUUUCUUCCUGGUCCGAGAGGAAUGGGUAACCUUUUGAAAGUGCAUCGUGAUAGGGAUAGACUAUUGCAAUUAUUAGUCUUCAACGAGGAAUUCCUAGUAGACGUAGUUCAUCAGACUGCAUCGAUUACGUCCCUGCCCUUUGUACACACCGCCCGUCGCUCCUACCGAUUGAAUGCUCAGGUGAGCCAUUCGGACUUUCAUCAUGCUGGUUUCCAGUUUUGAUGAAGGAAAGUCUUGCGAACCUUAUCAUUUAGAGGAAGGAGAAGUCGUAACA